rnacentral:rRNA from 1 species
UAUUGGUCAAUGGGUGCAAGCCUGAACCAGCCAUGCCGCGUGCAGGAAGACGGCCUUCUGGGUUGUAAACUGCUUUUUUCGGGGGAUAAAACGCCCAUGCGUGGGAGCUUGAAGGUACCCGAAGAAUAAGCCACGGCUAACUACGUGCCAGCAGCCGCGGUAAUACGUAGGUGGCGAGCGUUGUCCGGAUUUAUUGGGUUUAAAGGGUGCGUAGGCGGCCUAUUAAGUCAGUUCUGAAAUAUCCCGGCUUAACCGGGAGGGUGGGAUUGAUACUGAUGGGCUUGAGUGGAAUCGAGGUAGGCGGAAUUGACGGUGUAGCGGUGAAAUGCUUAGAUAUCGUCAAGAACACCGAUAGUGAAGACAGCUUACCAGGCUUCAACUGACGCUGAGGCACGAAAGUGUGGGGAUCAAACAGGA